CCUUGGGCCCAAUCUGUCUUCCAGGCCCACCUGCAAGUCCCUCGGCAGCUCUGAGGUCCCUGCCCCUCCUUCCAGCACUGGCUGUCAGGGCCACCCUGGCAGAGGCCCAUGACCCAACAGCCCACCCAAAGAACUCGUUUCUGGGGGUAGAGAUGGGGUGAUGCUCAGCAGGAGGUUUGAGCCCAGAGCCCCAGGAUUCUCUACUGCUUAUCAGUUCCUGGAAAACAGGAAUGAGCAGAGCUGCACACAGUUCUAAGGACUGAGAUCAUGAGAGAGGGCACCUGCUUGGAUUCCUUACAGUGACUCCCUUCAGUGACAUGACCUUAAAUGUAAUCUAUUCAGUUAUGCCCCUCUUACUCAGGCUAUGGAAUGCUUUCUGGCCCUUUGAAGAUUGUUAUUUGCUUGGCUUUGUUUUUGUUCAAUUUGCUUUACUGCCUAAAUCUGCCUUGUAUGAAGAUAUAAAAACAUGCGUUUCUGCAAAUAAACCACCCUUGUUUUACUCGA